AUUGAACGCUGGCGGCAGGCCUAACACAUGCAAGUCGAACGGUAACAGGAAGCAGCUUGCUGCCUUGCUGACGAGUGGCGGACGGGUGAGUAAUGUCUGGGAAACUGCCCGAUGGAGGGGGAUAACUACUGGAAACGGUAGCAAAUACCGCAUAACGUCGCAAGACCAAAGAGGGGGACCUUAGGGCCUCUUGCCAUCCGAUGUGCCCAGAUGGGAUUAGCUAGUAGGUGGGGUAACGGCUCACCUAGGCCACGAUCCCUAGCUGGUCUGAGAGGAUGACCAGCCACACUGGAACUGAGACACGGUCCAGACUCCUACGGGAGGCAGCAGUGGGGAAUAUUGCACAAUGGGCGCAAGCCUGAUGCAGCCAUGCCGCGUGUAUGAAGAAGGCCUUCGGGUUGUAAAGUACUUUCAGCGGGGAGGAAGGGAGUAAAGUUAAUACCUUUGCUCAUUGACGUUACCCGCAGAAGAAGCACCGGCUAACUCCGUG
rnacentral:rRNA from 1 species